AUUCACCUCUGCAUGUAGUCAUUCUCUGUACCCUACAUGAAUACAUAAUGCUUCACGUAUCAGGUUGCCCUUUUUCUCUUUCGUGUUCGUUAUCCUGAUUGGAGUUCCAACUAACCAAAUUUGUGUUGUAUCAUGUUUGUUUUUUUAUUUUCUGAUCUUUGAACCCAAAAUUUCUUAUUAUAUAUAGCGAGACUCGAUUCAUCUCACUGCAACCUUGAUGUUCUUAAUUUUAUCUGUAUUGC
rnacentral:lncRNA from 1 species